rnacentral:piRNA from 1 species
UGGUUCAGUGAUCUUGGAGUGAUGAU